GGCGUCAGCCCACUAGCUAGCUCUGUGUCACUCCAUUCUUUUAUUUCUGCGAGGUUCUUUUCCACUCCCUCCCUCAUGGAGGGCUCAGGAUUGCUUUUUCUUUACUGUACCUGCUGCUGUUUCACUAAGAUGGAGAACAGAGGAAGGGGACGAGAGGAGGGAAGAUGGAUGGGUCGAGAGUUUACUCUUCAGUGUUACAACUCUCUCGAGGCUCCUCAAAGGUUCUAGCAGGUGUUGGGCCUACAGUGUCUUCUCUCCACCUUUCCAGCAACCCGUGGACUUCACAAAACCUGGCCACUCAGCUGCUGCUUACUAUGUAGUGUAUCCCUCAUACUGGACACCACCCAGCUGUUGGAGACCCUGGAGGCCGAGAGUCUGAGGUUCCGACGUUGCAAUUCAAACCCCAAAGCACAGAAGAUCUUCAUUUUGGUUUCAGAGAAGUCAUUAUCUUCAUUUUUUGGGGGGGGGGAUACUGAGAUGACCCCCAAGAGAUAAGAACAAACAGAAUGUGUUCCAUCGUCCUCAAGUCUGCUGCAUCAGCAUAUAUUUUUCACUUAAAGCUUUUAAGUAUUUGACUUAUACAUUGACGAACACCCCCUCAGUGGACUGUUAGGGUUUGGUUUAAUCUUCAAGAAAACUGGCAUUAAAAUAGACCUUUUCCCAGCAAUAAUCAUCUCAUUUAUGAUAAAUUAUUCUAUUCUCAGUACCUCUGAGACACAUGAGAGCUUUUAUGC
ensembl:lncRNA